UACAGAGGUCUCGAGCGUUGUUCGGAUUCAUUGGGCGUAAAGGGUGCGUAGGUGGCGCUGUAAGUCGGGUGUGAAAUCCUGAGGCUUAACCUCGGAACUGCAUUCGAUACUGCGGCGCUUGAGGACUGGAGAGGAGACUGGAAUUCAUGGUGUAGCAGUGAAAUGCGUAGAGAUCAUGAGGAAGACCAGUGGCGAAGGCGGGUCUCUGGACAGUUCCUGACGCUGAGGCGCGAAGGCCAGGGGAGCAAACGGG
rnacentral:rRNA from 1 species